GGAAUAUUGGACAAUGGGCGAAAGCCUGAUCCAGCCAUGCCGCGUGUGUGAAGAAGGUCUUCGGAUUGUAAAGCACUUUAAGUUGGGAGGAAGGGUAUUAACCUAAUACGUUAGUACUUUGACGUUACCGACAGAAUAAGCACCGGCUAACUCUGUGCCAGCAGCCGCGGUAAUACAGAGGGUGCAAGCGUUAAUCGGAAUUACUGGGCGUAAAGCGCGCGUAGGUGGUUUGUUAAGUUGAAUGUGAAAUCCCCGGGCUCAACCUGGGAACUGCAUCCAAAACUGGCAAGCUAGAGUAUGGUAGAGGGUAGUGGAAUUUCCUGUGUAGCGGUGAAAUGCGUAGAUAUAGGAAGGAACACCAGUGGCGAAGGCGACUACCUGGACUGAUACUGACACUGAGGUGCGAAAGCGUGGGGAGCAAACAGGAUUAGAUACCCUAG
rnacentral:rRNA from 1 species